rnacentral:rRNA from 1 species
UACGUAGGGUGCGAGCGUUGUCCGGAAUUAUUGGGCGUAAAGGGCUCGUAGGCGGUUUGUCGCGUCGGGAGUGAAAACUCAGGGCUUAACCCUGAGCCUGCUUCCGAUACGGGCAGACUAGAGGUAUGCAGGGGAGAACGGAAUUCCUGGUGUAGCGGUGGAAUGCGCAGAUAAUCAGGAGGAACACCGAUGGCGAAGGCAGAUCUCUGGGCCGUAACUGACGCUGAGGAGCGAAAGCAUGGGGAGCGAACAGG